AAGUGGGGAGAAUUCAACAAGAAGCUGCUAACUUUUAGUUAAGUGGUUAAAGUCCAUUUACACUUC
rnacentral:tRNA from 1 species